rnacentral:piRNA from 1 species
UCAAAGAACACUACCCUCCUC